GUUGAGCGCUGAAGGNUGGUACUUGUACCAACUGGAUGAGCAGCGAACGGGUGAGUAACGCGUGGGGAAUCUGCCUUUGAGCGGGGGACAACAUUUGGAAACGAAUGCUAAUACCGCAUAAAAACUUUAAACACAAGUUUUAAGUUUGAAAGAUGCAAUUGCAUCACUCAAAGAUGAUCCCGCGUUGUAUUAGCUAGUUGGUGAGGUAAAGGCUCACCAAGGCGAUGAUACAUAGCCGACCUGAGAGGGUGAUCGGCCACAUUGGGACUGAGACACGGCCCAAACUCCUACGGGAGGCAGCAGUAGGGAAUCUUCGGCAAUGGACGAAAGUCUGACCGAGCAACGCCGCGUGAGUGAAGAAGGUUUUCGGAUCGUAAAACUCUGUUGGUAGAGAAGAACGUUGGUGAGAGUGGAAAGCUCAUCAAGUGACGGUAACUACCCAGAAAGGGACGGCUAACUACGUGCCAGCAGCCGCGGUAAUACGUAGGUCCCGAGCGUUGUCCGGAUUUAUUGGGCGUAAAGCGAGCGCAGGUGGUUUAUUAAGUCUGGUGUAAAAGGCAGUGGCUCAACCAUUGUAUGCAUUGGAAACUGGUAGACUUGAGUGCAGGAGAGGAGAGUGGAAUUCCAUGUGUAGCGGUGAAAUGCGUAGAUAUAUGGAGGAACACCGGUGGCGAAAGCGGCUCUCUGGCCUGUAACUGACACUGAGGCUCGAAAGCGUGGGGAGCAAACAGGAUUAGAUACCNUGGUAGUCCACGCCGUAAACGAUGAGUGCUAGAUGUAGGGAGCUAUAAGUUCUCUGUAUCGCAGCUAACGCAAUAAGCACUCCGCCUGGGGAGUACGACCGCAAGGUUGAAACUCAAAGGAAUUGACGGGGGCCCGCACAAGCGGUGGAGCAUGUGGUUUAAUUCGAAGCAACGCGAAGAACCUUACCAGGUCUUGACAUACUCGUGCUAUUCCUAGAGAUAGGAAGUUCCUUCGGGACACGGGAUACAGGUGGUGCAUGGUUGUCGUCAGCUCGUGUCGUGAGAUGUUGGGUUAAGUCCCGCAACGAGCGCAACCCCUAUUGUUAGUUGCCAUCAUUAAGUUGGGCACUCUAACGAGACUGCCGGUGAUAAACCGGAGGAAGGUGGGGAUGACGUCAAAUCAUCAUGCCCCUUAUGACCUGGGCUACACACGUGCUACAAUGGAUGGUACAACGAGUCGCGAGACAGUGAUGUUUAGCUAAUCUCUUAAAACCAUUCUCAGUUCGGAUUGUAGGCUGCAACUCGCCUACAUGAAGUCGGAAUCGCUAGUAAUCGCGGAUCAGCACGCCGCGGUGAAUACGUUCCCGGGCCUUGUACACACCGCCCGUCACACCACGGGAGUUGGGAGUACCCGAAGUAGGUUGCCUAACCGCAAGGAGGGCGCU
rnacentral:rRNA from 1 species